rnacentral:rRNA from 1 species
AGAGUUUGAUCAUGGCUCAGGACGAACGCUGGCGGCGUGCUUAACACAUGCAAGUCGAGCGGUAAGGCCCUUCGGGGUACACGAGCGGCGAACGGGUGAGUAACACGUGAGCAAUCUGCCCUUCACUUUGGGAUAACCACCGGAAACGGUGGCUAAUACCGGAUACGACCAUCCCAGGCAUCUGGUGGUGGUGGAAAGUUCUGGCGGUGGAGGAUGAGCUCGCGGCCUAUCAGCUUGUUGGUGGGGUAAUGGCCUACCAAGGCGACGACGGGUAGCCGGCCUGAGAGGGUGACCGGCCACACUGGGACUGAGACACGGCCCAGACUCCUACGGGAGGCAGCAGUGGGGAAUAUUGGACAAUGGGCGAAAGCCUGAUCCAGCAACGCCGCGUGAGGGAUGACGGCCUUCGGGUUGUAAACCUCUUUCAGUAGGGACGAAGCUAACGUGACGGUACCUACAGAAGAAGCACCGGCCAACUACGUGCCAGCAGCCGCGGUA